UCCAGACUCCUACGGGAGGCAGCAGUGGGGGAUAUUGCACAAUGGGGGGAACCCUGAUGCAGCGACGCCGCGUGAGUGAAGAAGUAAUUCGUUAUGUAAAGCUCUCUCAGCAGGGAAGAAGAAAGACGGUACCUGACUAAGAAGCCCCGGCUAACUACGUGCCAGCAGCCGCGGUAAUACGUAGGGGGCAAGCGUUAUCCGGAUUUACUGGGUGUAAAGGGAGCGUAGACGGCAGCGCAAGUCUGAAGUGAAAUGCCGGGGCUUAACCCCGGAACUGCGUUGGAAACUGUGCAGCUAGAGUGCAGGAGAGGGAAGUGGAAUUCCUAGUGUAGCGGUGAAAUGCGUAGAUAUUAGGAGGAGCACCGGUGGCGAAGGCGGCUUACUGGACUGUAACUGACGUUGAGGCUCGAAAGCGUGGGGAGCAAACAGGAUUAGAUACCCCAGUAGG
rnacentral:rRNA from 1 species